GCAAACUUGGUCAUUUAGAGGAAGUAAAAGUCGUAACAAGGUUUCCGUAGGUGAACCUGCGGAAGGAUCAUUACAGUAUUCUUUUUGCCUGCGCUUUGGUGCGCGGCGAAAAAACCUUACACACAGUGUUUUUUUAUUACAAGAACUCUUGCUUUGGUCUGGACUAGAGAUAGUGCGGGCCAGAGGCGUAAAAAACCAAACUUCAAUAUUUUGUAUUGAAUUGUUAUUUCAACAAAUGUCAAUUUGUUUUGGCUAGCGCCAAAAAACAAUCUUCAAAACUUUCAACAACGGAUCUCUUGGUUCUCGCAUCGAUGAAGAACGCAGC
rnacentral:misc_RNA from 1 species